AGAGAAGUUCCACACUGGCAGGAAUCCCUCCUGGCCAAAGGAGUUAUGUAACCUCUUUGCCCAGGAGGGAUUCCCUCCCAUCAAAGAGGUUACUUAC